AGAGUUUGAUCAUGGCUCAGAUUGAACGCUGGCGGAAUGCUUUACACAUGCAAGUCGAGCGGCAGCGCGGGGCAACCUGGCGGCGAGCGGCGAACGGGUGAGUAAUGCAUCGGAACAUGUCCAUUCGUGGGGGAUAGCCCGGCGAAAGCCGGAUUAAUACCGCAUAAGCCCUGAGGGGGAAAGUGGGGGACCGCAAGGCCUCACGCGAAUGGGUUGGCCGAUGUCCGAUUAGCUAGUUGGUGAGGUAAAGGCUCACCAAGGCGAUGAUCGGUAGCUGGUCUGAGAGGAUGAUCAGCCACACUGGGACUGAGACACGGCCCAGACUCCUACGGGAGGCAGCAGUGGGGAAUUUUGGACAAUGGGGGAAACCCUGAUCCAGCCAUUCCGCGUGAGUGAAGAAGGCCUUCGGGUUGUAAAGCUCUUUUGUCCGGAACGAAACGGUUUGCGUAAAUAGCGCCGACUACUGACGGUACCGGAAGAAUAAGCACCGGCUAACUACGUGCCAGCAGCCGCGGUAAUACGUAGGGUGCGAGCGUUAAUCGGAAUUACUGGGCGUAAAGCGUGCGCAGGCGGUUUUGUAAGCCAGAUGUGAAAUCCCCGGGCUUAACCUGGGAAUGGCAUUUGGGACUGCAAGGCUGGAGUGUGGCAGAGGAGACUGGAAUUCCUGGUAGCAGUGAAAUGCGUAGAUAUCAGGAGGAACACCGAUGGCGAAGGCAGGUCUCUGGGCUGACACUGACGCUCAUGCACGAAAGCGUGGGGAGCAAACAGGAUUAGAUACCCCCGUAGUCC
rnacentral:rRNA from 1 species